rnacentral:lncRNA from 1 species
CAACAUUCAAACAAAAUAAAAUAAAAUACUAGACCCCAACAAGACAACAAACAACUACCUAACACAGUUAAAUUAAAUUAAAUGCAAAACUGAAUUAAAGAAAUGAUAAACAACUCAACCUACUAUGCAAGCUAAUUUAAAACAAAAGAAAUAAUCAAACAUGCUUUUUCCUCUAUCAUUCACGUGACUCCAUGCACCACAACUAAAGGAAUU